GGGUAGUAUUCAUGAUUCAGAUUAAAAUUUGAAUAUGUAUGGGAAUCAGGUAUUGUGGAUUCAUGGCUUCCAAUAAACGCAAGCGUUUAUUGUUAAUUACCCCUACAAAGUGUUAGGGCACCUUCGAUUAAGAGACCUUUGUAAUGCUGUGAUUGAAUAAAAGAUGAAUUUUAUAACAUAAUUCAGUAUGACGGUUGAUUGAAUUUGAUUCUGAACCAAGAUAUUAUUCAUCCUAAGAUGAAAGGUUGGUUAAAUUCCCAGUACAUACAUUGGAAUUUAAUCAGAUUUGAUUCAAAUUAAACUCUAAUUAAAUGAAUUAGAGUUUGAUUUAGUUAAUUGAACUUUAAAUAUAUGUGAUAAAGUCCAAUGAGAUUUGAUUUAAGCUUUCAUCCUAGAUGUAUAUGUUAGGAUUAGCUCAAAUAUUUUGGAUUAGACUCUAAUUCUAUAUUUUAAAGUCUAAUAUAAUUAAGCUCUAUGCUUAUAUGUUCGAGCUCAAUUAAGUUCACCAUAAAGCCAAAUAUUAACUAAAUCCUAAUUAUAUGUAUUAGGACUAGUCAAAAUUUAAUUUAAAUUAAACUUUAAGUGUAUGUAUUAGAGUCUAAUUUGGUUUCACCUGAACUAAAUCCUAAUUACAUAUGUUAGGAUUAGUCAAAAUAUUUUAAAUUAAACUCUAAAUGUAUAUAUUAGAGUCCAAAAAGGGUUCGCCAUAAGAUGAAUUCAUGUCCACCGUGUAGCGAGAUGCGAACCAAAUCCUAAUUAUAUGUGUUAGGAUUAGCCGAAAUUAAACUCUAAGUGUAUGUAUUAGAGUUUAAUCAAGAGAUGAAUUUGGGUUUACCAUAAGAUAAGAUAUCAACUAAAUCCUAAUUUUAUAAGUUAGGAUUAGUUAAAGUUUAAACUCUAAGUGUAUGUAUUAGAGUUUAAUUUAAUGAACUCUAAGUAUAUAUAUUAGAGCUCAAUUGAUUUGAUCGGGUGAAACCUUGUAUAUGGUUUGAUCAAUUCUAAUUAAAUAUUUUAGAAUUUGAUCGAGUUUGAAUAUGUCAAGAUUUAGCUCUAGUUAUAUAUGCUAGAGAAAAGGUUUGAUAUGGGCUCAUUUGGAUUGGAAUUAAUUGGGUUGGGUUCGG
rnacentral:lncRNA from 1 species